rnacentral:rRNA from 1 species
GUAGCAUAAUCAUUUGUUUUUUAAUUAUAAACUAGAAUGAAAGGCUUAACAAAUAAAUAUGCAUUUUAAAUGGUAUAAUAGAAUUUAUAAUCUAUGUAAAAAUACAUCAAUAAAUAAAAGGGACGAUAAGACCCUAAAAGCUUCAAUAUUAGAUAUUUUUUUUCAUUAUUAGUAUAUUAAAAAUAAUAAAUAUUUUAACUGGGGUAGUUGUUUUAAACAUAUAUAUUUUCAUAUACAAUUAGGAUAAAAGAUCCUUUAUAUAAGGAUAAUUAGUUAAAGUUACUUUAGGGAUAACAGCAUAAUAAUAAUAGAAAGCCCUUAUUAAUAUUAUUGAUUUUGACCUCGAUGUUGAAUUAAGUCUCUUUAUAAAGCAAAAAUUAUACACGAAAGUUUGUUCAACUUAUAAAAUUUU